rnacentral:rRNA from 1 species
CACACUGUUACUGAGACACGGUCCAGACUCCUACGGGAGGCACCAGUAAGGAAUAUUGGUCAAUGAACGCAAGUCUGAACCAGCCAUGCCGCGUGAAGGAAGACGCCCCUACGGGUUGUAAACUUCUUUUGUACGGGAAAAAACCUCCGGACGUGUCCGGAGCUGAUGGUACCGUAAGAAUAAGCAUCGGCUAACUCCGUGCCAGCAGCCGCGGUAAUACGGAGGAUGCAAGCGUUAUCCGGAUUCAUUGGGUUUAAAGGGUGCGCAGGCGGAAUGAUAAGUCAGUGGUGAAAUCCUACAGCUCAACUGUAGAACUGCCAUUGAUACUGUCGUUCUUGAGUACACUUGGAGUGGGCGGAAUGUGUCAUGUAGCGGUGAAAUGCUUAGAUAUGACACAGAACACCGAUCGCGAAGGCAGCUCACUAAAUUGUAACUGACGCUCAGGCACGAAAGCGUGGGGAUCAAACAGGAUUAGAUACCCUGGUAGUCCACGCUGUAAACGAUGAUCACUCGAUGUUGGCGAUAUACUGUCAGCGUCUAAGCGAAAGCAUUAAGUGAUCCACCUGGGGAGUACGAUCGCAAGAUUGAAACUCAAAGGAAUUGACGG